rnacentral:lncRNA from 1 species
AUUCUGGACACUGGCCUUGGGAAAGAAUUUAUGACUAGGUUAUUAAAAGCACUUACAACAAAAACAAAAAUUGACAAGUGGGACCUGAUUAAAGAUCUUCUGCACAGCAAAAGAGACUAUCAAUAGAGUGAACAGACAACCUACAGAAUGGGGGAAAAUAUUCACAAACUAUGCAGCCAAUAAAGGUCUCAUAUUCAGAAUCUACAAGGAACUUAAACAAUUGAACAAGCAAAAAACAAAUAGCCUUAUUAAAAAUGGGCAAAAAGACAUGAACAGACAUUUCUCAAAAGAAGACAUACAAGUGGCCAAUAAACUUAUGAAAAAAUGCACCACAUCACUCAUCAUCGGAGAACUGCAAAUCAAAACCACAAUGAGAUACCAUCUCACACCAGUCAGAAUGGCCAUUAUGAAAAAGUCAAAAAAUAACAGAUGCUGGAGAGGCUGUGGAGAAAAAGGAACACUUAUACACUGUUAGUGGGAGUGUAAAUUUGCUCAGCCACUGGGAAAAGCAGUUUGGAGAUUUCUCAGAUAACUCAGAACUACUAUUUGACCCAGCAAUCUCAUUACUGGCUCGGUUCUUUGGAGUGAAACAGAAUAAGCCUCACCCAUUUUAGGUAUUUGAAGAAAGCUGUGCAUCCAUAUAAGUCUUCCUCAUAUGGCAUGGCUCCUUUCCCCUCACAUUCCCAAUUAUCUCUUCAAAUGCAGAAUUAAUUGUCAAGAUCUAUUGAGAAUAGAGAUAAAAAAGACAUAUAAAAUGUGCUUGCUACCAUUAAAGUACCUAUGAUAUAUUGGUUUUUUUCCCAGUUCAUGUCAUGUACCUUUAUGCCCAACAGAUAUGACAGAUUAACAACUGCAAAAGAGGGAUUCUAACAGGUAAAACCAAAUUAAGUGGCCUGGUGAGUUCUGAGUGUCAGUGAAAGUUUGGUUGCAGCAUGUGUUUUCCAAGGCAUGUACAUCCCAUUAGAAAAAAGAUUCCAGUAAACUAAUUCAUUCAAAAAUGAUUUUAUUCAUCCAUUCAUUCUUAAAACAUUUCUCAAGAUGUGUUUUGGGGACCACUCUACUGAAGAAAAAUUUUCUGUGGUUAAGUAAACUCUGCAGAUUCUAUUGCUCUUUUAAGAUUUACUGCAAUAAUUUUCAUGUAA